UACGUAGGGUGCGAGCGUUGUCCGGAAUUACUGGGCGUAAAGAGCUCGUAGGUGGUUUGUCGCGUUGUUCGUGAAAACUCACAGCUUAACUGUGGGCGUGCGGGCGAUACGGGCAGACUGGAGUACUGCAGGGGAGACUGGAAUUCCUGGUGUAGCGGUGGAAUGCGCAGAUAUCAGGAGGAACACCGGUGGCGAAGGCGGGUCAUCCUGGGAC
rnacentral:rRNA from 1 species